GUCGCAGGUUCGAAUCCUGCACGACCCACCAAUUUCAGCAUUUAACUCAGAUGCUGAACGUGAAGGAUAACGUUGCGACUGCAACGGCCCGAAGGGCGAGGCGAAGUCGAGUCAUCCUGCACGACCCACCA
rnacentral:sRNA from 1 species